AAAUUGAAGAGUUUGAUCAUGGCUCAGAUUGAACGCUGGCGGCAGGCCUAACACAUGCAAGUCGAACGGUAACAGGAAACAGCUUGCUGUUUCGCUGACGAGUGGCGGACGGGUGAGUAAUGUCUGGGAAACUGCCUGAUGGAGGGGGAUAACUACUGGAAACGGUAGCUAAUACCGCAUAAUGUCGCAAGACUAAAGAGGGGGACCUUCGGGCCUCUUGCCAUCGGAUGUGCCCAGAUGGGAUUAGCUAGUAGGUGGGGUAACGGCUCACCUAGGCGACGAUCCCUAGCUGGUCUGAGAGGAUGACCAGCCACACUGGAACUGAGACACGGUCCAGACUCCUACGGGAGGCAGCAGUGGGGAAUAUUGCACAAUGGGCGCAAGCCUGAUGCAGCCAUGCCGCGUGUAU
rnacentral:rRNA from 1 species